GGCCGAGCACAUGGGCCCGCGGGCCGGGCGGGCUCGGGGCGGCCGGGACGAGGAGGGGCGACGACGAGCUGCGAGCAAAGAUGUGCCCCGGGACCCCCGGCACCUUCCAGUGGAUUUCCUUGCGGAAAGGAUGUUGGCGGUCCCUGUGACCUGUGGAGACACGGCCAGAUCUGCCCUCCAGCCUGAUCUUUUGGCCAGAAGGAGAUUAAAAAGAUGCCCCUCAAGAUGGCUGUGCCUGUCAGCUGCAUGGAGCUUCGUUCAAGUAUUUUCUGAGCCUGAUGGAUUUACAGUGAUCUUCAGUGGUCUGGGGAAUAACGCUGGUGGAACCAUGCACUGGAAUGACACACGCCCGGCACAUUUCAGGAUACUAAAAGUGGUUUUAAGGGAGGCUGUGGCUGAAUGCCUCAUGGAUUCUUACAGCUUGGAUGUCCAUGGGGGACGAAGGACUGCAGCUGGCUGAGAGGGUUGAGAUCUCUGUUUACUUAGAUCUCUGCCAACUUCCUUUGGGUCUCCCUAUGGAAUGUAAGACCCCGACUCUUCCUGGUGAAGCAUCUGAUGCACGUUCCAUCCGGCGCUCAGCUGGGCUUGAGAAUCCUGUUACACCUGGGAUUUAGGCACUUUCAAUCUGAAAAAAUACAUAUCCUUUCAGCACUCUGGACGGACUUGAGAACUGUCCUUACGUGACCUAAAGCUGGAGUAUUUUGAGAUUGGAGAAUUAAGGCCUUCAGUGGGUUGAAUGAGGCCCAACCCACAUUGAAGAGGACCAUCUGCUUUACUCAGUCUCCUGGUUGAAGUGAUAAUCUCAUCUGGACAUACUCAGAAAUGCUGUUUAACCAGCUCUCUGGAAAUCCUGUGGCCCAGUCAAGUUGACACACAAAAUUAACCAUCACACUGCAGAGACACAGUCUAUCCCAAUACCUGUAUUUACUGGAGUGUGGGCACCCUGGCUUCAAGCUCACGAGAAACCAGGUCGGGAUUUAAACAAUGUUGGGUUAAAGCAAAGUUUCAUAAAGACAGAAUCAAGAAAAAAAGAAAGAGAAA
rnacentral:lncRNA from 1 species